GGAGGGUAUCCGAAUUGGUGAGGAGGUUGAUUCGAAAUCAACUGCCCCUUUAUGGGGUUGCGGGUUCGACUCCCGUGCCCUCCG
rnacentral:tRNA from 2 species